GAUGAACGCUGGCGGCGUGCCUAACACAUGCAAGUCGAACGAAGCACUUUGAAGUUUGCGGACAGAUGAGUGACUGAGUGGCGGACGGGUGAGUAACGCGUGGGUAAGCUGCCUCAUACAGGGGGAUAACAGUUAGAAAUGACUGCUAAUACCGCAUAAGCGCACGGUAUCGCAUGAUACAGUGUGAAAAACUCAGGUGGUAUGAGAUGGACCCGCGUCUGAUGAGCUAGUGGGUGGGGGAAUGGCCUACCAAGGCGACGAUCAGUAGCCGGCCUGAGAGGGUGAACGGCCACAUUGGGACUGAGACACGGCCCAAACUCCUACGGGAGGCAGCCUUUGGGAAUAUUGCACAAUGGGUGAAACCCUGAUGCAGCGACGCCGCGUGAGUGAAGAAGUAUUUCGGUAUGUAAAGCUCUAUCAGCAGGGAAGAAAAUGACGGUACCUGACUAAGAAGCACCGGCUAAAUACGUGCCAGCCGCCGCCGUAAGAC
rnacentral:rRNA from 1 species